rnacentral:rRNA from 1 species
UACGUAGGGCGCAAGCGUUGUCCGGAAUUAUUGGGCGUAAAGAGCUCGUAGGCGGCCAGUUGCGUCUGCCUGUGGAAAUCCCCGGGGGACUCAACCCCGGGCGUGCAGUGGAUACGGGCUGGCUAGAGGCAGGCAGGGGGAGGAACGGAAUUCCCGGGUGUAGCGGUGAAAUGCGCAGAUAGUCGGGAGGAACACCGGUGGCGAAGGCGGUUCGCUGGGCCUGUACUGACGCUGAGGAGCGAAAGCGUGGGGAGCGAACAGG